rnacentral:rRNA from 1 species
UACGGGGGGGGGCAAGCGUUGUUCGGAAUUACUGGGCGUAAAGGGCUGGUAGGCGGCCAACUAAGUCGGAUGUGAAAUCCCCAGGCUUAACCUGGGAACUGCGUUUGAUACUGUUAAGCUAGAGUGUGGAAGGGGCUACUGGAAUUCCGUGUGUAGCGGUGAAAUGCGUAGAUAUACGGAGGAACACCAGCGGCGAAGGCGGGUAGCUGGGCCGAACACUGACGCUGAUGCGCGAAAGCUAGGGUAGCAAACGGG